rnacentral:lncRNA from 1 species
UGCUGCAUAAUUACUGUUAAGAUCUAUCAAAAUGUACUGAGAAGGCUUGCUCCUUGCUCAAAUCUGAUGAAUGAACAGGCAAGCAGCGCCUAGGAAGACUUUUAAGAGGAAUGGAUCAAAUUAAGAACACGAAGAAAUGCAACCAAGAGACCUCAGAAACGGAAAUAUUUCUCAGGAAAUGUCAAACACGGACGUCUACAUAAUAUCUACAUGAAAUAAUAAAUCAAAAUCAGCUUUUUUUAUCUGACA